rnacentral:rRNA from 1 species
AUUGAACGCUGGCGGCAGGCCUAACACAUGCAAGUCGAACGAGUGGCAGACGGGUGAGUAAUAUCUGGGAAACUGCCUUAUAGAGGGGGAUAACUACUGGAAACGGUAGCUAAUACCGCAUACCAUGAGAUAUGCCCAGAUGGGAUUAGCUUGUUGGUGGGGUAACGGAUUACGAAGGCGACGAGCCCUAGCGGGUCUGAGAGGAUGACCAGCCACACUGGAACUGAGACACGGCCCAGACUCCUACGGGAGGCAGCAGUGGGGAAUAUUGGACAAUGGGCGCAAGCCUGAUGCAGCCAUGCCGCGUGUAUGAAGAAGGCCUUCGGGUUGUAAAGUACUUUCAGCGGGGAGGCGUUACCCGCAGAAGAAGCACCGGCUAACUCCGUGCCAGCAGCCGCGGUAAUAC